UGACCUGGGUAACAUGGCAUCUGGUUGGUGGGACCGGCCUCAUAUCAUCAUUGUUUAUCUCAGCUUGGCUUUUGGGCUGUGCCCAUGCCUGGUUCAUGCCAUGGACAUGUGG
rnacentral:snoRNA from 1 species